GCCUGGCUGGCUCAGUCGGUAGAGCGUGAGGCUCUUGAUCUUGGGGUCGUGGGUUCAAGCCCCACGUUAGGCA
rfam:Felis catus isolate Cinnamon breed Abyssinian chromosome D4, whole genome shotgun sequence.